GCCAUGCUGCAUGCUUGGUUUUACAGCAGAACAAAUGACAAAGGAUUGAUGCUGUGCUUUGAGUGCUAAUGUAGGGGAUUGUGAGGGGAGCGUGGAUGAGCGCAGAUGCCACAGCAUGGUGAGUGUGGGGAUGCUAUUCCAAGAUGUGGAGUACUGAAUGGGGAGCAAUGGGAGACCAUGUGCCAGGCCCUCCAGAUGGCUGGGUUGGAAAAUGCCACCAUAUUCAGUUUUCUGUGAGGUACCAUGUGAUCCUAGCAUGUCCGCAGACUUGGGUGCUGGCUGAUGAAUAAAUCACUCUGUGGGCUGCAUUUUGAUCAGGGGGUAUAUGCUUAAAUAUCUUUGUAGUUAACACCAAUGUGCUUUUGGUGAGUAUAGAAGUCAGGAAGCCAAACUUGGAGAGGCUUAGUUUCUCCAGUGUCUUUUAGAACUUACGAACUUCGUAUUUCACAUGUAGGUGUGAGAUCCACUUGGAUUCAAUUUUGGGCAUGCUAUAAAUGCCCCCGUUUUUUUUCUUUCUUGACUAGGCCCCUUUCUGCAUGUCUGGAAGGGCAAAGCAGGAAGGGCUAUGGUAUCCAGGCCAUUUAAUCUCUGACCAUUUUGGAUGGGGACUAUUAAUAUUCUAGUUUGAGCUGGGUGGUCCUAGCCAAAGAGGGACUAAGGGCAGGUUUAGCAAUCAGGAGUACUGGUGCCAGGUAACUUGCACUUUCUUUCCGGGAUUCUCCUCUCCUUCUGCUCUAGGGAGUUGUAAGGAAGAACACAAACUAUCCCAUGGUGACCUGCACAGUCGUCCUGGUCCUCAGAGCCUCCAGUAUAUUGAUUUCUUGGAUAGCAGAUGACUCUGAAUCCAUGGCAUGGGACGAUAUUAUGCUUGUACUAUCACUGUCCAGUGUGCAUGCACACACAUUGCUUUUUGUGUGCAGUGGGAACACUGAUUGGAAAAUUGACAGUCUCGUUAAUGGAAUAUCUCAAUAUUGCAUUGCUCUUUCAGGUUUGUCUUAUCAAUAUUACAAAGAGUUUAGAGGCUGUCNNNNNNNNNNNNCUCAAACUCACAGAGUUCCACCUGCCUCUGCCUCCCGAGUGCUAGGAUUAAAGGUGUAUGCCACGACCACCUGGAUGUUUUUGGUUUUUAAAGACAGGGUUCCUUUGUAUUGUGUUGGAGCCUCUCCUGGAACUAGCUCUGUAGACCAGGAUGGCUUUGAUCUCAGAAUUCUGUCUCCCCAUGCCUCUCGAGUGCUGGGAUUAAAGGCAUGCACCACCAAUGCCCGGUUUCUUUGAUACAUUUUGACUUAUGUUUUGUGUAUGGUGAUAAUUACUUAACAAUCUGCAGUCUUUAUAACAUGCCAGCAUCUAGUUAUACCUGUAACAUUUGUUGAAGAUGCUUUAUUUUAUACAUUGUAUAAUUUUAGAUUCAUUGUCCUGCAUCCGGUGUUUGUACGUAUGUGGGACCAUAUUAUGGUUUUAAAUUGAUUCCAUUAGUCUACCUUUCUUUUAUAUUUUUUUUUUAUAUUUUUUUGUGAUUGAGCAUCAGUGGGAAUGUAUUUACCUGAAACAAAGGGAAUUAUUAGGAAAUGCAGAUCCAUAGCAAGAGGUCACCUCCACGUCUGGAUAGAGCUCUGGAUCAUGGUGCUUCUGUUUUAGAAGAAAUAUCAGUAGCUCAUGGGUCAGAAACAAUAGUUUAAGAGUCAUCUGAGGUAAUUUUAUGAAAAUUAUG
ensembl:lincRNA